ensembl:misc_RNA Metazoa_SRP Metazoan signal recognition particle RNA
GCCGGGUGCAGUGGCGCGCGCCUGUAAUCCAAGCUGCUGGGAGGCUGAGGCUGGCGGAUCGCUUGAGUUCAGGGGUUCUGGGCUGCAGUGGACUAUGUCGAUCGGGUGUCCGUGCUAAGUUCGGUAUCGAUAUGGUGCUCCUGGGGGAGCUCGGGACCACCAGGUCGUCUAAGGAGGGGUGAACCGGCCCAGGUCGGAGACGGAGCAGGUCAAAGCCCCCGUGCCGAUCAGUAGUGGGGUCGCACCUGUGAAUAGACACUGCAGUGCAGCCUGAGCGAUACAGUGAAACUCAGUCUAUU